rnacentral:rRNA from 1 species
UACGUAGGGAGCAAGCGUUGUCCGGAAUCAUUGGGCGUAAAGAGCGCGCAGGCGGUCGUGCAAGUCGCGUGUGAAAGCCCCCGGCUCAACUGGGGAGGGUCACGCGAUACUGCUCGACUCGAAGGCAGGAGAGGGAAGUGGAAUUCCCGGUGUAGUGGUGAAAUGCGUAGAUAUCGGGGGGAACACCAGUGGCGAAGGCGACUUCCUGGCCUGUUCUUGACGCUGAGGCGCGAAAGCUAGGGUAGCAAACGGG